rnacentral:rRNA from 1 species
GAUGAACGCUGGCGGCGUGCUUAACACAUGCAAGUCGAACGAAGCACUUUAUUUGAUUUCCUUCGGGACUGAUUAUUUUGUGACUGAGUGGCGGACGGGUUAGUAACGCGUGGGUAACCUGCCUUGUACAGGGGGAUAACAGUUGGAAACGGCUGCUAAUACCGCAUAAGCGCACAGCAUCGCGUGAUGCAGUGUGAAAAACUCCGGUGGUAUAAGAUGGACCUGCGUUGGAUAAGCUAGUUGGUGAGGUAACGGCCCACCAAGGCAACGCUCCAUAGCGGACCGGAGAGGGUGACCGGCCACAAUGGGACUGAGAAACAGCCCCAACUCCUACGGGAGGCAGCAGUGGGUAAUAUUGCACAAUGAGGGAAAGCUUGAUGCAGCGACGCCGCGUGAGCGAAGAAGUAUUUCGGUAUGUAACGCUCUAUCAGCAGGGAAGAUAAUGACGGUACCUGACUAAGAAGCACCGGCUAAAUACGUGCCAGCCGCCGCAGUAA